CGUGCGCACGCGCCGAAUCCCGCAAGGGAACCGGGGAACCACCACAUUGGGGUGAAUCGGGCGUAUGCCGCCGUGGGAACACGGUCGGCAGGCACCCGUAGGAGACCUUCCUGCUCCGAACCCGUCAGCUAACCCGGUAGGCGAAAGGAAGGAAAGG
rfam:Streptomyces coelicolor A3(2) complete genome